AGGCUGAGACGUGAUGCAUAGCCGAUUGAGGCGAAGUAGAGUGAUCCCAUGCUGCCGAGAAAAGCCUCUAGUGAGUGUUCAUGCGGCCCGUACCCCAAACCGACACAGGUGGUCAGGUAGAGAAUACCGAGGCGAUCGGGCGAACUGUGGUUAAGGAACUCGGCAAAAUGCCCCCGUAACUUCGGGAGAAGGGGGGCCGAGGGAUUUGAAGCCCCUUGCGGGCUAGGAUUUUUCGGCCGCAGAGACCAGCGAGAAGCGACUGUUUACUAAAAACACAGGUCCGUGCGAAGUCGCAAGACGAUGUAUACGGACUGACGCCUGCCCGGUGCUGGAACGUUAAGGGGACCGGUUAGCUCUUCGGGGCGAAGCUGAGAACUUAAGCGCCAGUAAACGGCGGUGGUAACUAUAACCAUCCUAAGGUAGCGAAAUUCCUUGUCGGGUAAGUUCCGACCUGCACGAAUGGCGUAACGACUUCUCGACUGUCUCAACCACAGGCCCGGCGAAAUUGCACUACGAGUAAAGAUGCUCGUUACGCGCGGCAGGACGGAAAGACCCCGGGACCUUUACUAUAGCUUGGUAUUGGUGUUCGGUUCGGCUUGUGUAGGAUAGGUGGGAGACUGUGAAGCGGCCACGCCAGUGGUUGUGGAGUCGUCGUUGAAAUACCACUCUGGUCGUACUGGAUGUCUAACCUCGGUCCGUGAUCCGGAUCAGGGACAGUGCCUGGUGGGUAGUUUAACUGGGGCGGUUGCCUCCCAAAGAGUAACGGAGGCGCUCAAAGGUUCCCUCAGCCUGGUUGGCAAUCAGGUGUCGAGUGCAAGUGCACAAGGGGGCUUGACUGUGAGACCGACAGGUCGAGCAGGGACGAAAGUCGGAACUAGUGAUCCGGCCAUGGCUUGUGGAAGCGUGGUCGCUCAACGGAUAAAAGGUACCCCGGGGAUAACAGGCUGAUCUUGCCCAAGAGUCCAUAUCGACGGCAUGGUUUGGCACCUCGAUGUCGGCUCGUCGCAUCCUGGGGCUGGAGUAGGUCCCAAGGGUUGGGCUGUUCGCCCAUUAAAGCGGUACGCGAGCUGGGUUUAGAACGUCGUGAGACAGUUCGGUCCCUAUCCGCCGCGCGCGUAGGAUACUUGCGGAAGGCUGUCCCUAGUACGAGAGGACCGGGACGGACGGACCUCUGGUGUGCCAGUUGUCCUGCCAAGGGCAUUGCUGGUUGGCUACGUUCGGAAGGGAUAACCGCUGAAAGCAUCUAAGCGGGAAGCUCGUUCCUAGAUGAGGUAUCCCACCCUUCGUGGGUUAAGGCCCCCAAGAGACCAUUGGGUUGAUAGGCCGGAGAUGGAAGGUCGGUAACGGCUGGAGUUGACCGGUACUAAUAGGCCGAGGACUUGCUCACAA
rnacentral:rRNA from 1 species